rnacentral:rRNA from 1 species
GACGAACGCUGGCGGCGUGCUUAACACAUGCAAGUCGAACGGAAAGGCUCCAGCUUGCUGGAGUACUCGAGUGGCGAACGGGUGAGUAACACGUGGGUAAUCUGCCCUGCACUCUGGGAUAAGCCUGGGAAACUGGGUCUAAUACUGGAUAUGACCUUUCUCCUUAUGGGGUUUGGUGGAAAGUUUUUCGGUGUAGUAUGAGCCCGCGGCCUAUCAGCUUGUUGGUGGGGUGAUGGCCUACCAAGGCGACGACGGGUAGCCGGCCUGAGAGGGUGAUCGGCCACAUUGGGACUGAGAUACGGCCCAGACUCCUACGGGAGGCAGCAGUGGGGAAUAUUGCACAAUGGGCGGAAGCCUGAUGCAGCGACGCCGCGUGAGGGAUGACGGCCUUCGGGUUGUAAACCUCUUUCAGCAGGGACGAAGCGUAAGUGACGGUACCUGCAGAAGAAGCACCGGCUAACUACGUG